rnacentral:rRNA from 1 species
CCUACGGGAGGCAGCAGUGAGGAAUAUUGGUCAAUGGGCUUACGCCUGAACCAGCCAAGUCGCGUGAGGGAAGACUGCCCUAUGGGUUGUAAACCUCUUUUGUCAGGGAGCAACGCCGGCUACGUGUAGCCGGACUGAGAGUACCUGAAGAAAAAGCAUCGGCUAACUCCGUGCCAGCAGCCGCGGUAAUACGGGGGAUGCGAGCGUUAUCCGGAUUUAUGGGGUUUAAAGGGUGCGUAGGCGGAAUGCCAAGUCAGCGGUAAAAUCGCGGGGCUCAACCUCGCUCCGCCGUUGAAACUGGCGUUCUUGAGUGGGCGAGAAGCAGGCGGAAUGCGUGGUGUAGCGGUGAAAUGCAUAGAUAUCAGGAGGAACUCCGGUGGCGAAGGCAGCAUACCGGCGCCCAACUGACGCUGAGGCACGAAAGCGUGGGGAUCAAACAGGAUUAGAUACCCCGGUAGUC